ACAGGAACGAACAGGGAGAACUGAGAACGGCUACUACAUCUACGGAAGGCAGCAGGCGCGUUAAUUUACCUCUCCUUUGACCCAGGGAGGUGGUGGCGGGUUUUAUCAACGCAUUUCAUUGUGAUUGUAGUGAGGGUAUUCCAAACCGAACCACUAGUACGAUUAGAGGGCAAGUCUGGUGCCAGCAGCCGCGGUAAUUCCAGCUCUAAUAGCGUAUAUUAAAGUUGCUGCAGUUAAAAAGCUCGUAGUUGGAUUUCAAGGAUUGUGUACUCUCUCUUUAUCUCUUCUUCCUACUAGUCUUUGACUUGUUACUGUGAGAAAAUUAGAGUGUUUAAAGCAGGCUAUUGCAAGAAUACAUUUAGCAUGGAAUAACGAAUGUAUCUAGAUCUUGGUUAUCCAGGCUCGACGAGGGGAGGAGGAGGGGGCAAGAAUUAAUUGCAGGGUGAAUCUGGAUCUGCUCUCUCACUCUUCUUUUGCUAAGCAUUGCCAGGAUGUUUCAUUACCACCCACGAAAGACCCCGGAUCAAGACAUCAAAUACUGUCGUAUCCUAUCUAUACCUAUGCCACUAGGAUUGGAUGGAAACCUCCCCAUUCGUACCUAUGAGAACCAAGCCUUGGGUUCUGGUGCGACCAUCGUCCCCAUACGAACCUAAAACGGACGGAAGGCCCCACCCGUAGUGGAGCUGGGGUCUAUCUGGACCUACA
rnacentral:rRNA from 1 species